rnacentral:rRNA from 1 species
UGCAUGAAGUCGGAAUUGCUAGUAAUCGCGGAUCAGCAUGCCGCGGUGAAUACGUUCCCGGGCCUUGUACACACCGCCCGUCACACCAUGAGAGCCGGGAACACCCGAAGUCCGUAGUCUAACCGGAAGGGGGACGCGGCCGAAGGUGGGUUUGGUAAUUGGGGGUGAAGUCGUAACAAGGUAGC